UGCAACGCUAUGCAGCUGUGGACACCAGCAGCUUGAUAAGAACUCUUGAAGCUCAUCUGGAUGCUUCACAGAACCUGGGAGGACUGAACACUUUUGGCAAAGCAGGAACAGUUCUGGCCCACCUGUUUGUCUACAAGACGGUCUCUUCUGCGAGUACUCCUGUGCCUUACAGUAUACUAUACUGAUGAUCUUAUACAUCUCUCAGUAUUAAGGAUUGUCAGCACUUGGACUGCUUCACUGUGUUAUGCACGCUGCUGAGUCUAAACUUUCCAAUAACAGUGUGCAUUUGAAAAUUUUGCAUGGCUUGAAAAGAUGCUGAAUGUAAACUCAUUUAAU
rnacentral:lncRNA from 1 species